AGAAGAAAUAUUGCUCGAAAAUGUAGAGCUGACUCUUGAAGCCUUUGACUACAUGCAGCUGCCAUUCACACUGAAAGGUGGUAUCAAUUUUUUAAUCCGACUGCAUUGAUUAUCCUCUUUGUUAACCAUUGCAUGGUUGUAAACUUUUACUUCUGUUCUACUGCUUUACAGGACAAAUUAGGAAGCUAAGCAUCUAGAUAGGAGAAUUUGAUUGGUUUGUGUCAAUAUUUAAUUUCUUAGCUCACUCUGUUCAUGCCUUUGUGGUUCAUGGACAACUGCUGCUACGUGCUCCCUUCCCCGACAGCGCAUUCUAACACGACAUGAUACACCAGCAACUGGAAUGUUGUCAACAUCAGCGGCGACGACGACAACGCCACAUCGAGAAACAACAACUGUGGGCCAGGGAGCACAAUCCCGUGGUGCGGCGACUUGCCCACGUUUGCCAUGCUGCCUUGAUGCAUGGCACAUCAACAAGAAGAGCACCAGUUUGGAAGGCUAAUUCCGAAGGAAUUGAGGUAGCAAAUUUAGGCAUUGUUUGGAUGCUCUCGUAUUCACCUCAAUCCAUGUGUAUUGAUAUGGAUUGAGGUGUAACUUAUAAACUAAAUUACACCCCAAUUCACGUUAAUACAUGUGGAUUGAGGUGAAUAUGAGAAUAUCCAAACAAGGCUUAAAGGGGUAUACAUGUUAAAGAAGGAUUACUUAACUAGAUGUCCAUCUCUAACUGUAUAAUGUAUUUGCUAAUCAUUCUGAUCGGUCGCCAUAGACCCAUGUUGUCAACUUGACAUGGUAACUGGUCUUUUUCUUCUCCUUUUCUCUUUACUUAAACUUCAUGUUCCUGGAUUACUGCUUUUGCAGGAGCAGGACGAUGUAGUGGAGCAGCAUCUCUAAUCAUUUAAGGAAUGUAUGGUUAUUAGAACUGAGAACUCAAUUUGUAGACAUGUUGUGUCAAAAUACUCAAAUGCACUCACUAAAGUUUUGGAGCCAAUAACCCAGUCAGCAGUUACAUUUCACCUACAAAACACAGUUAAGUAUAAACUUAUACAUUUCCUGUUUUGUGUGUUUGCCAGCUUCAAAUUAACAAGUCCAUUAUAUUAUGCAACUCUGUGAAUAGAAUCGAGCUACUGGCUAAGAAAAUAACUGAACUCGGUUAUUCAUGCUUCUACAUUCAUGCUAAGAUGUUGCAAGACAACAGAAACUGAGUGUUUCAUGAGUUUCAUAAUGGUGCUUGCAGAAACCUUGUGUGCACAGGUCUGUACUAAUGUUUUCCUACCUUAUUAGUCUUUUUAGAAUUUAGUAGUUUAAUUCUCAGCAUAUGUUCAAUUGUCAUUUAUGAAGGUUUUUUAUAAAAGUAUCAUGGCAGUGAUUUCUUUGAGGUGAGACAGUGAUUUCUUGGUACACACCAGCCUUAUUGAUCUUACAAGGAUUUGUCCAUGUAAGCGGAAUGAUCCAAACAUACUUGGUCGUGUUCUCAUAUAACCAGGUUGCUUUCACUGCAGGAGAUCAACCAUGCAGCGGCUGGUGGCAUAUGGGCUGAACUUGUUAGUAACAGAGGGUUUGAAGCUGGAGGCCUCCAUACUCCAUCAAACAUUGACCCAUGGUCCAUCAUUGGAGACGACUCCUCUGUAUUUGUGGAGACAGAUCGUACAUCAUGUUUCAGUCGAAACAUCAUUGCUCUCAGGAUGGAGAUCCUUUGCGAUAACUGUCCUACUGGUGGUGUUGGUGUUUACAACCCAGGGUUCUGGGGCAUGGAUUUGGUGUUACCAUAAGCAACUAGCAAUGCCAAUUUUCAAAAGCAGAGUAGCAAUAGCUGUAGAGGUCGAAUUAGGAAUUACUAUAGUUGAUGGUUUUCUUUUGAUUGUUCUGGUAGUGUCACUUUUCAGGUUCUGAUAUUAGCCACGUUUAAGGUACAUGCUCCCUUUUCCUACCUUUUCCACUUUUAAUUUUUCUAUAAUGUUCAAUUUUUCAACUUAUAGAACAUAGAAGAAGGAAAGGCCUACAAUCUUGUUAUGUUUGUUAAGUCACCAGAAACAACUGACUUGACAGUUUCACUAAAAAGCUCUAACGGGUUGCAAAAUCUGGCUUCAGCUACAGUAACGUUAGUAUCUUUUUCUCGGUAUCAGGACAAGAGGAAAUAUUUGGUUUCUCACAAUAUCUGAAAGGAUUGCACUGCUGCAGAGUUUCCGGCAAAUCAAACUAGAUAAAAGUGGAGCAAAAGUUGGUUGCUAAAGGAACCAAUAGAACCUCAAGGCUUCAAAUAACAACUAAUAAGAAAGGAGUUGUCUAGUUUGAUCAAGUAUCACUCAUGCCUGAAGACACAUACAAGGGACAUGGCUUUCGCACAGAACUUAUAUCCAUGAUUUUGGAUUUAAAACCACGAUUCUUGAGAUUUUCUGG